rnacentral:rRNA from 1 species
GACGAACGCUGGCGGCGUGGAUUAGGCAUGCAAGUCGAACGGUAUCAUCCUUUCGGGGGUGAGAGAGUGGCGAACUGGUGAGUAACACGUAGGUUAUCUACCCUCAAGACGGGGACAACCCAGGGAAACUUGGGCUAAUACCGGAUGUGAGCAACUUUUAGUUGUUUGAAAGGUGGCGUAAGCUGUCGCUUGGGGAUGAGCCUGCGUCCUAUUAGUUAGUUGGUGAGGUAACGGCUCACCUAGGCAAUGAUAGGUAGGCGGCCUUAACGGGUGGUCGCCCACACUGGGAUUGAGAUACGGCCCAGACUCCUACGGGAGGCAGCAGUCGAGAAUAGUCUACAAUGGUCGGAAGACUGAUAGUGCGACGCCGCGUGAACGAUGAAUCCCUUCGGGGUGUAAAGUUCUUUUAUAUGUGAGCAGUGCUUCUUAUAUUAACAGUAUGGGGAGAGAGAUAUUAGCAUAUGAAUAAGCAACGGCUAACUCCGUGCCAGCAGCCGACGGUAAAA